rnacentral:rRNA from 1 species
CUUAGUAACGGCGAGUGAAGCGGCAAAAGCUCAAAUUUGAAAUCUAGCACCUUCGGUGUUCGAGUUGUAAUUUGAAGAAGGUAACCUUGGGAUUGGCUCUUGUCUAUGUUUCUUGGAACAGAACGUCACAGAGGGUGAGAAUCCCGUGCGAUGAGAUGACCAAUUCUAUGUAAGGUGCUUUCGAAGAGUCGAGUUGUUUGGGAAUGCAGCUCUAAGUGGGUGGUAAAUUCCAUCUAAAGCUAAAUAUUGGCGAGAGACCGAUAGCGAACAAGUACAGUGAUGGAAAGAUGAAAAGAACUUUGAAAAGAGAGUGAAAAAGUACGUGAAAUUGUUGAAAGGGAAGGGUAUGAGAUCAGACUUGGUGUUUUGCAACCUUAUCUUCGGAUGGGGCCCCUGCAGUUCAUCGGGCCAGCAUCAGUUUGGACGGUAGGAUAAUGACAUUGGAAUGUGACUUGGCUUCGGUUAAGUGUUAUAGCCCUUGUUGAUACUGCCUGUCUAGACAGAGGACUGCGUCUUUGACUAGGAUGCUGGCAUAAUGAUCCUAUACCG